rnacentral:tRNA from 1 species
GCUCGCUUGGUGGAAUUGGUAGACACGACAGACUUAAAAUCUGUUUCCAGCGAUGGAUUAUCGGUUCAAGUCCGAUAGCGAGUA